rnacentral:rRNA from 1 species
GACGAACGCUGGCGGCGUGCUUAACACAUGCAAGUCGAACGGAAAGGCCCGGCUUUUGUGGGGUGCUCGAGUGGCGAACGGGUGAGUAACACGUGAGUAACAUGCCCUUGACUUUGGGAUAACUUCAGGAAACUGGGGCUAAUACCGGAUAGGAGCUCCUGCUGCAUGGGGGGGGUUGGAAAGUUUCGGCGGUUGGGGAUGGACUCGCGGCUUAUCAGCUUGUUGGUGGGGUAGUGGCUUACCAAGGCUUUGACGGGUAGCCGGCAUGAGAGGGUGACCGGCCACAUUGGGCCUGCGAUACGGCCCAGACUCCUACGGGAGGCAACAGUGGGGAAUAUUGCACAAUGGGCGGAAGCCUGAUGCAGCAACGCCGCGUGCGGGAUGACGGCCUUCGGGUUGUAAACCGCUUUCGCCUGUGACGAAGCGUGAGUGACGGUAAUGGGUAAAGAAGCACCGGCUAACUACGUG